rnacentral:rRNA from 1 species
AACGAACGCUGGCGGCAGGCUUAACACAUGCAAGCCGAGCGCCCCGCAAGGGGAGCGGCAGACGGGUGAGUAACGCGUGGGAACGUACCCUUUGCUACGGAAUAGCUCCGGGAAACUGGAAUUAAUACCGUAUGUGCCCUACGGGGGAAAGAUUUAUCGGCAAAGGAUCGGCCCGCGUUGGAUUAGCUAGUUGGUGGGGUAAUGGCCUACCAAGGCGACGAUCCAUAGCUGGUCUGAGAGGAUGAUCAGCCACAUUGGGACUGAGACACGGCCCAAACUCCUACGGGAGGCAGCAGUGGGGAAGAUUGGACGAUGGGCGCAAGCCUGAUCCAGCCAUGCCGCGUGAGUGAUGAAGGCCUUAGGGUUGUAAAGCUCUUUCACCGGAGAAGAUAAUGACGGGAUCCGGAGAAGAAGCCCCGGCUAACUUCGUGCCAGCAGCCGCGGUAAAAC